GUGAGUGGGAGCGAGCGUGGGUUGGAGGAUAUGCUUGAACCGCGUGUGUCUAAUGUGAGGCUUCGUGAGGUGUGUGUGUGUGUGUGUGUGUGUGGCCCUGUUCGGCAACAAUUACAUUCCUUUUUACACGUUGAUCUUAUUUGAUCGGGCCGAGAUGUCGCCGCUUUCUCGGCCUGAAAUGAAAAAGACCCGCUUCUGUGAAGCCCUUGGCGCUGUACAGAGCAGCUUCGGUUUAAUGAGCGUGCGGCAGUAUUGUCGGAGAUGAUGAAUUGAUCAGAUAGAUGAGGCUGGAGGUUGGAAAGUUCCUCUUCCUAGCCAAUGCGUAUCGAAGCGAUUCUGAUCCGG